rnacentral:miRNA from 1 species
AAAUAUGUCACUUAGGAAUCUAGUUAAAAUUACAGAUUCUGAUUCAGAAAAAAAUCUGUGUAUGGCCUGAUAUUCUGCAUUUCUUACAAGUUCCCAGGUGAUGUUAAC